AUCUGAGUUGGGAGGGUCCCUCUCCAAAUGUGUCUUGGGGUGGGGGAUCAAGACACAUUUGGAGAGGGAACCUCCCAACUCGGCCUCUGCCAUCAUU
rnacentral:pre_miRNA from 10 species